GGUACUGUGCUCAGGAUUUUCCUUGUAUUACCUCUUCUUCCUAACAGCUCUGUAAUAGAGGUCCUAUUAUAGUUACCAACAUUCUACAGAUGAGGAAACAAAGGCUCAGAGAGAUUAAGAAAUUUGCUCAUGGACAUAGCUGGUAGCUGGCAAAGCAAGGAUUCAAACCCAGGAAGUCUGACUACAGAGCCUAUACUAAAGACACUCUGCUCCUCUGGGAAUGAAAAUGUCAGAAAUGGUCUAUUACGGGCAGAAAAUUCCUACACCAAAGAGCAAGAUCAUCCAUUGUUUAACGCAUUAAGAAAAAAAAUUGCAGAAAAUCAAGAGACACACAUCAACUGAAGGAUUUCACACUUCCUGUAUUUCCUAUGAAAUGGAGUGUCAAGAUAUUUGAUAGGUAGUUCUUGAACCACUUCUGCCAGAAAUGAAAUUUUGGGACCCCCUUAAUUGAUUCCCCAAAGUCAAAAGUUAUGGGCUCAUGAAUAUAUCCAAUAACAA